rnacentral:rRNA from 1 species
GGUUAAGUUAGAAAGGGCGCACGGUGGAUGCCUUGGCACUAGAAGCCGAUGAAGGACGUUACUAACGACGAUAUGCUUUGGGGAGCUGUAAGUAAGCUUUGAUCCAGAGAUUUCCGAAUGGGGAAACCCAGCAUGAGUUAUGUCAUGUUAUCGAUAUGUGAAUACAUAGCAUAUCAGAAGGCACACCCGGAGAACUGAAACAUCUUAGUACCCGGAGGAAGAGAAAGAAAAUUCGAUUCCCUUAGUAGCGGCGAGCGAAACGGGAAGAGCCCAAACCAACAAGCUUGCUUGUUGGGGUUGUAGGACACUCUAUACGGAGUUACAAAGGACGACAUUAGACGAAUCAUCUGGAAAGAUGAAUCAAAGAAGGUAAUAAUCCUGUAGUCGAAAAUGUUGUCUCUCUUGAGUGGAUCCUGAGUACGACGGAGCACGUGAAAUUCCGUCGGAAUCUGGGAGGACCAUCUCCUAAGGCUAAAUACUCUCUAGUGACCGAUAGUGAACCAGUACCGUGAGGGAAAGGUGAAAAGCACCCCGGAAGGGGAGUGAAAUAGAACCUGAAACCGUGUGCUUACAAGUAGUCAGAGCCCGUUAAUGGGUGAUGGCGUGCCUUUUGUAGAAUGAACCGGCGAGUUACGAUUUGAUGCAAGGUUAAGCAGUAAAUGUGGAGCCGUAGCGAAAGCGAGUCUGAAUAGGGCGUUUAGUAUUUGGUCGUAGACCCGAAACCAGGUGAUCUACCCUUGGUCAGGUUGAAGUUCAGGUAACACUGAAUGGAGGACCGAACCGACUUACGUUGAAAAGUGAGCGGAUGAACUGAGGGUAGCGGAGAAAUUCCAAUCGAACCUGGAGAUAGCUGGUUCUCUCCGAAAUAGCUUUAGGGCUAGCCUCAAGUGAUGAUUAUUGGAGGUAGAGCACUGUUUGGACGAGGGGCCCCUCUCGGGUUACCGAAUUCAGACAAACUCCGAAUGCCAAUUAAUUUAACUUGGGAGUCAGAACAUGGGUGAUAAGGUCCGUGGUCGAAAGGGAAACAGCCCAGACCACCAGUUAAGGUCCCCAAAUAUAUGUUAAGUGGAAAAGGAUGUGGCGUUGCCCAGACAACUAGGAUGUUGGCUUAGAAGCAGCCAUCAUUUAAAGAGUGCGUAAUAGCUCACUAGUCGAGUGACACUGCGCCGAAAAUGUACCGGGGCUAAACAUAUUACCGAAGCUGUGGAUUGUCCUUUGGACAAUGGUAGGAGAGCGUUCUAAGGGCGUUGAAGCAUGAUCGUAAGGACAUGUGGAGCGCUUAGAAGUGAGAAUGCCGGUGUGAGUAGCGAAAGACGGGUGAGAAUCCCGUCCACCGAUUGACUAAGGUUUCCAGAGGAAGGCUCGUCCGCUCUGGGUUAGUCGGGUCCUAAGCUGAGGCCGACAGGCGUAGGCGAUGGAUAACAGGUUGAUAUUCCUGUACCACCUAUAAUCGUUUUAAUCGAUGGGGGGACGCAGUAGGAUAGGCGAAGCGUGCGAUUGGAUUGCACGUCUAAGCAGUAAGGCUGAGUAUUAGGCAAAUCCGGUACUCGUUAAGGCUGAGCUGUGAUGGGGAGAAGACAUUGUGUCUUCGAGUCGUUGAUUUCACACUGCCGAGAAAAGCCUCUAGAUAGAAAAUAGGUGCCCGUACCGCAAACCGACACAGGUAGUCAAGAUGAGAAUUCUAAGGUGAGCGAGCGAACUCUCGUUAAGGAACUCGGCAAAAUGACCCCGUAACUUCGGGAGAAGGGGUGCUCUUUAGGGUUAACGCCCAGAAGAGCCGCAGUGAAUAGGCCCAAGCGACUGUUUAUCAAAAACACAGGUCUCUGCUAAACCGUAAGGUGAUGUAUAGGGGCUGACGCCUGCCCGGUGCUGGAAGGUUAAGAGGAGUGGUUAGCUUCUGCGAAGCUACGAAUCGAAGCCCCAGUAAACGGCGGCCGUAACUAUAACGGUCCUAAGGUAGCGAAAUUCCUUGUCGGGUAAGUUCCGACCCGCACGAAAGGCGUAACGAUUUGGGCACUGUCUCAACGAGAGACUCGGUGAAAUCAUAGUACCUGUGAAGAUGCAGGUUACCCGCGACAGGACGGAAAGACCCCGUGGAGCUUUACUGUAGCCUGAUAUUGAAAUUCGGCACAGCUUGUACAGGAUAGGUAGGAGCCUUUGAAACGUGAGCGCUAGCUUACGUGGAGGCGCUGGUGGGAUACUACCCUAGCUGUGUUGGCUUUCUAACCCGCACCACUUAUCGUGGUGGGAGACAGUGUCAGGCGGGCAGUUUGACUGGGGCGGUCGCCUCCUAAAAGGUAACGGAGGCGCUCAAAGGUUCCCUCAGAAUGGUUGGAAAUCAUUCAUAGAGUGUAAAGGCAUAAGGGAGCUUGACUGCGAGACCUACAAGUCGAGCAGGGUCGAAAGACGGACUUAGUGAUCCGGUGGUUCCGCAUGGAAGGGCCAUCGCUCAACGGAUAAAAGCUACCCCGGGGAUAACAGGCUUAUCUCCCCCAAGAGUUCACAUCGACGGGGAGGUUUGGCACCUCGAUGUCGGCUCAUCGCAUCCUGGGGCUGUAGUCGGUCCCAAGGGUUGGGCUGUUCGCCCAUUAAAGCGGUACGCGAGCUGGGUUCAGAACGUCGUGAGACAGUUCGGUCCCUAUCCGUCGUGGGCGUAGGAAAUUUGAGAGGAGCUGUCCUUAGUACGAGAGGACCGGGAUGGACAUACCUCUGGUGUACCAGUUGUCGUGCCAACGGCAUAGCUGGGUAGCUAUGUGUGGACGGGAUAAGUGCUGAAAGCAUCUAAGCAUGAAGCCCCCCUCAAGAUGAGAUUUCCCAACUUCGGUUAUAAGAUCCCUCAAAGAUGAUGAGGUUAAUAGGUUCGAGGUGGAAGCAUGGUGACAUGUGGAGCUGACGAAUACUAAUCGAUCGAAGACUUAAUCAA